UACUGACCUUUCCUCCUCGCUGAAAGUGCUUUACAACCCGAAGGCCUUCUUCACACACGCGGCAUGGCUGCAUCAGGGUUUCCCCCAUUGUGCAAUAUUCCCCACUGCUGCCUCCCGUAGGAGUCUGGACCGUGUCUCAGUUCCAGUGUGGCUGAUCAUCCUCUCAGACNNGCUAGGGAUCGUCGCCUYGGUGAGCCAUUACCUCMCCAACUAGCUAAUCCCACCUGGGCAUAUCCAAUCGCGCAAGGCCCGAAGGUCCCCUGCUUUCCCCCGUAGGGCGUAUGCGGUAUUAGCAGUCGUUUCCAACUGUUAUCCCCCUCGACUGGGCAAUUUCCCAGGCAUUACUCACCCGUCCGCCGCUCGCCGGCAAAAGUAGCAAGCUACUUUCCCGCUGCCGCUCGACUUGCAUGUGUUAGGCCUGCCGCCAGCGUUCAAUCU
rnacentral:rRNA from 1 species